UACGAAGGGGGCGAGCGUUGUUCGGAAUUACUGGGCGUAAAGCGCGUGUAGGCGGCCCUGCAAGUCGGAUGUGAAAUCCCACGGCUCAACCAUGGAAGUGCAUUCGAAACUGCAGAGCUAGAGUCCUGGAGAGGAAGGUGGAAUGCUUGGUGUAGAGGUGAAAUUCGUAGAUAUCAAGCGGAACACCGGUGGCGAAGGCGGCCUUCUGGACAGUGACUGACGCUGAGACGCGAAAGCGUGGGGAGCAAACAGG
rnacentral:rRNA from 1 species